GGACUGAACUCAGGUCAUCGAGCCUGGCAGUAAGUGCCUUUACUUGCUGAGCCAUCUCCCUAGGCCAAAGUACACAUCUUCAAGUGAAGACAAUCCCUCCAGCAGCACCCAGCGCUUUUGCAUCCGCACAUCAUCCAAGCUCACCCUCGGCUGUGCCACCUCAGGAAGAGAAAUGGAAAAGACCUUUGUCCCCUCCUGUAUAUAUAUAUUUUAUAAGGCUGAAGCAAAAACAACUAAAAUAACAACUGUUGUGGAUCCUCACAGAACAGGCAGCGUGCCUCUGGAUUCAGCCACCAUGCUGAAGUCUACAGGGAGACCCUCUAGCUGUCUACGGGGGACAGUGUGGCUCAGAAGAGGAAAGAAGUUUGGAACUCAGUCAGCUGGGGACCAAGUGUUCAACACAGAAACCUCUGGGGCCAUGCAAGGGCCAAACCACAAAAGCCCAUUUGUGCUAGAGGAGGAUGAGCCCAUUUACCUGUGUCUUCUCAUCUGGAGUCAUCGAUUGCAGCCCUCCUGGGGGCGGGGCUAGAAGGGAAGCGGUCACGGUCGUGGCCAGGACCGAAAGGAGCCAUCUGAGUUCUUCUAACUGGGAAUCCCUGCAUAUAUGAGUUGCCUUGCAAGCUUUCUUGGAUGUAACUGGCCCCUACAUGUUCCUGGAGAUGUACAAGGUGGCCCGGGGUGGCCCUCGGCCUUUCAGCACAGUGUUACCCCUUGUAAGAAGACAAAAACUCAAGCCCCAAGUGCGAGACAACAAACAGCCUGCAGGGCAGGAUUGCCAAGGGCGGGCUGGGAUCCGAAGAUCUAUCAGCACCCCACCCCCACCCAGUACCUCCCACCUCUUGCAAAGCUUCAGGGAGGAGACCGAGGCUUAUCUUUUUUUUUUUUUUUUUUUUUUUAAUAGGUUGGGCUGUGGCCGCCUGGCAGGCCCCAUCUGUCCGCUGCCCCAACUCAAUUUGAUUCCCAUUCACCAGCCAUUGUUUGCCUCCCUCUUCUGAUCAGCAGUCUAGCGGGGGUGGGGUAAGAAGGCUUAACCAUUCUCCUUGGCUUAGUGGAUCCGGGACCCCUCCUUCAUGGUCCCACCCCCACCCUUGCCCCUGGAAGAGAAUGUUCUGGACUGUCUCAGCCCCAGGACACAGCCCAGUUGGCCAGGGGGCUGUGGUGGCAAUAUCAGGAGCUGGAGAGUUGCUGUCAGACCAGAGUAGGGUUUGGGUUGGACGAUGAAAAUGUGCAACCAAAUAAAUGGUCAGCCCAGAAAACACACGUACAAGUUGUAUGACACAGACCGAGAAGGUUAUAUUUAGGAAUAUGUUGUAUACAUGUAGAUAUACAUAUAUGCUUGUAAUAACAAUUAAUGAAAAAGAGGCCAUGAAUUUGAAAGAGAGUAAGGAGGGGUAUAAGCGAGGGUUUGGAAGGAGGAAAGGGAGAAUUGCUGUAACUCUAGUCUCAAGGGAGGAAGGAAGGUUCUCUAUAGGACAGGUUAGGCCAGAGCCCUAAGGGUUUCUGAGUGGGUGAGAAUUACAGACCAGAGUUGGUACCUCAGCAACUCAUUUCUUUCUGUUUUGUUUUAAAGACAAUGGGGUAGGCCUGGUGAAAAGCUGUUUCCAAUCCUGCAGCCAAAGCCCUUUAGAAUCUGUCUGUGACCUUUGGCACAGUCUUGUUUUGUCUUGGUCUUCUGUAAAUUGUCAUCCUGAGUCAUACGGGACACAGGGAGCAUCAAAGCUGAAGGGACUUGGCUCUGCCACCACCCUCAUCAGUUUAGGGUCUGUUCUUCCAGUCCAUUUGAAGCAGUUCAUGAACAUGUGCAUGCAUACGAGCG